GAUGAACGCUGGCGGCGUGCUUAACACAUGCAAGUCGAACGAUGAAGCCCAGCUUGCUGGGUGGAUUAGUGGCGAACGGGUGAGUAACACGUGAGUAACCUGCCCUUAACUCUGGGAUAAGCCUGGGAAACUGGGUCUAAUACCGGAUAGGAGCGUCCACCGCAUGGUGGGUGUUGGAAAGAUUUAUCGGUUUUGGAUGGACUCGCGGCCUAUCAGCUUGUUGGUGAGGUAAUGGCUCACCAAGGCGACGACGGGUAGCCGGCCUGAGAGGGUGACCGGCCACACUGGGACUGAGACACGGCCCAGACUCCUACGGGAGGCAGCAGUGGGGAAUAUUGCACAAUGGGCGAAAGCCUGAUGCAGCGACGCCGCGUGAGGGAUGACGGCCUUCGGGUUGUAAACCGCUUUCAGUAGGGAAGAAGCGAGAGUGACGGUACCUGCAGAAGAAGCACCGGCUAACUACGUG
rnacentral:rRNA from 1 species